rnacentral:rRNA from 1 species
GACGAACGCUGGCGGCGUGCUUAACACAUGCAAGUCGAACGGAAAGGCCCUGCUUUUGUGGGGUGCUCGAGUGGCGAACGGGUGAGUAACACGUGAGUAACCUGCCCUUGACUUUGGGAUAACUUCAGGAAACUGGGGCUGAUACCGGAUAGAAGCUCCUGCUGCAUGGUGGGGGUUGGAAAGUUUCGGCGGUUGGGGAUGGACUCGCGGCUUAUCAGCUUGUUGGUGGGGUAGUGGCUUACCAAGGCUUUGACGGGUAGCCGGCCUGAGAGGGUGACCGGCCACAUUGGGACUGAGAUACGGCCCAGACUCCUACGGGAGGCAGCAGUGGGGAAUAUUGCACAAUGGGCGGAAGCCUGAUGCAGCAACGCCGCGUGCGGGAUGACGGCCUUCGGGUUGUAAACCGCUUUCGCCUGUGACGAAGCGUGAGUGACGGUAAUGGGUAAAGAAGCACCGGCUAACUACGUG